rnacentral:rRNA from 1 species
GAUGAACGCUGGCGGCGUGCCUAACACAUGCAAGUCGAACGGAGUCCAGCCUUUAAGACCUUCGGGUCAAAGAGGGGAAGACUGAGUGGCGGACGGGUGAGUAACACGUGGGCAACCUGGCUCAUAGAGGGGGAUAACAGAGAGAAAUUUCUGCUAAUACCGCAUAAGCACACACUGCCGCAUGGCAGAGGGUGAAAAGAGAAUCGCUAUGAGAUGGACCCGCGUCUGAUUAGCCAGUUGGCAGGGUAAGAGCCUACCAAAGCGACGAUCAGUAGCCGAUCUGAGAGGAUGAACGGCCACAUUGGCACUGGGACACGGCCCAAACUCCUACGGGAGGCAGCAGUGGGGGAUAUUGCACAAUGGGGGGAACCCUGAUGCAGCGACGCCGCGUGAGUGAAGAAGUAUUUCGGUAUGUAAAGCUCUAUCAGCAGGGAAGAUAAUGACAGUACCUGAAUAAGAAGCCCCGGCUAACUACGUG